GCGCCUGAUCUCGUCUGAUCUCAAAAGCUAAG
rnacentral:rRNA from 1 species